GUACACUCCUGCGGGAGGCAGCAGUGGGGAAUUUUGGACAAUGGGCGAAAGCCUGAUCCAGCAAUGCCGCGUGAGUGAAGAAGGCCUUCGGGUUGUAAAGCUCUUUUGUCAGGGAAGAAACGGUGAAAGCUAAUAUCUUUUGCUAAUGACGGUACCUGAAGAAUAAGCACCGGCUAACUACGUGCCAGCAGCCGCGGUAAUACGUAGGGUGCAAGCGUUAAUCGGAAUUACUGGGCGUAAAGCGUGCGCAGGCGGUUUUGUAAGUCUGAUGUGAAAUCCCCGGGCUCAACCUGGGAAUUGCAUUGGAGACUGCAAGGCUAGAAUCUGGCAGAGGGGGGUAGAAUUCCACGUGUAGCAGUGAAAUGCGUAGAUAUGUGGAGGAACACCGAUGGCGAAGGCAGCCCCCUGGGUCAAGAUUGACGCUCAGGCACGAAAGCGUGGGGAGCAAACAGGAUUAGAAACCCGUGUAGUCCCA
rnacentral:rRNA from 1 species